rnacentral:rRNA from 1 species
GACGAACGCUGGCGGCGUGCCUAAUACAUGCAAGUAGAACGCUGAAGGAGGAGCUUGCUUCUCUGGAUGAGUUGCGAACUGGUGAGUAACGCGUAGGUAACCUGCCUGGUAGCGGGGGAUAACUAUUGGAAACGAUAGCUAAUACCGCAUAAGAGUAGAUGUUGCAUGACAUUUGCUUAAAAGGUGCAAUUGCAUCACUACCAGAUGGACCUGCGUUGUAUUAGCUAGUUGGUGGGGUAACGGCUUACCAAGGCGACGAUACAUAGCCGACCUGAGAGGGUGAUCGGCCACACUGGGACUGAGACACGGCCCAGACUCCUACGGGAGGCAGCAGUAGGGAAUCUUCGGCAAUGGACGGAAGUCUGACCGAGCAACGCCGCGUGAGUGAAGAAGGUUUUCGGAUCGUAAAGCUCUGUUGUAAGAGAAGAACGAGUGUGAGAGUGGAAAGUUCACACUGUGACGGUAUCUUACCAGAAAGGGACGGCUAACUACGUG